AAGAAAACUCUAGUUUAUGAGUCUCAGCUGACUUGUAUUUGCAUUUAUAAAAUAUUUUCAUAAGAAUUUCAUUCCUUUCUUAUGGACACCUUCAUCACGAUGCUUUGAUUUUACUGGAUUCUUUUCACUUAAUUUGUGUUUAAAAAUGACUGAAUAUCAGUCAUUUCUUUUUUCUGCAAAUUUA